UUCACGGCUCUUUUUGCGGUCUGGGCUUGCUGUUCCUUAAAUCACCAGUCAGGAAGCCCUUACCCCAAAAAGUAUCUG
ensembl:miRNA